rnacentral:rRNA from 1 species
AACUUCAGGCCUGGCUGGACGGUCCGCCUUCCGGGCGAGUACUGUCUGUGGUCGGGUCCUACCUUCUGGCGAAGCGUCAUGGCCUUAACCGGCCGUGGCGGGGAACCAGGACUUUUACUGUGAAAAAAUUAGAGUGUUCAAAGCAGGCAAUUCGCUUGGAUACAUUAGCAUGGAAUAAUGGAAUAGGACAAUGGUUCUAUUUGUUGGUUUCUAGGACUGUUGUAAUGAUUAAUAGGGAUAGUUGGGGGCAUUAGUAUUCAAUUGUCAGAGGUGAAAUUCUUGGAUUUAUUGAAGACUAACUACUGCGAAAGCAUU